rnacentral:rRNA from 1 species
UACGAAGGGUGCAAGCGUUAAUCGGAAUUACUGGGCGUAAAGGGGGCGUAGGCGGUUGUUUAAGUCUGUCGUGAAAUCCCCGGGCUCAACCUGGGAAUGGCGAUGGAUACUGGGCAGCUAGAGUGUGUCAGAGGAUGGUGGAAUUCCCGGUGUAGCGGUGAAAUGCGUAGAGAUCGGGAGGAACAUCAGUGGCGAAGGCGGCCAUCUGGGACAACACUGACGCUGAAGCACGAAAGCGUGGGGAGCAAACAGG